UACGGAGGAUCCAAGCGUUAUCCGGAUUUAUUGGGUUUAAAGGGUGCGUAGGCGGCCUGUUAAGUCAGGGGUGAAAGACGGUAGCUCAACUAUCGCAGUGCCCUUGAUACUGAUGGGCUUGAAUGGACUAGAGGUAGGCGGAAUGAGACAAGUAGCGGUGAAAUGCAUAGAUAUGUCUCAGAACACCGAUUGCGAAGGCAGCUUACUAUGGUCUUAUUGACGCUGAGGCACGAAAGCGUGGGGAUCAAACAGGAUUAGAUACCCUGGUAGUCCACGCCCUAAACGAUGAAUACUCGCUGUUGGCGAUACACAGUCAGCGGCUAAGCGAAAGCGUUAAGUAUUCCACCUGGGGAGUACGCCCGCAAGGGUGAA
rnacentral:rRNA from 1 species